UCUGUCCCCUAGGCCCCUUCCUUCCAUAAGCCUACUCAGGACUCCACUGGGUUACUGACUACUCACCCUCCCCUCAGGUCAUCUCCUGACCCGUACACAGUUAUGUCCACCCAGGCUCUGCUUGGACACCUGUGCCUGAUGUUCACCAGGGGCCAGAUGUCGUCCUCAGGCCUGAUGUCCACCUGGGGCCUGAUGUCUGCCUUGGCCUAUGUCCCUCUUGGGGCCUUGUGUUCACCUGGGGACUGUAUCCAGCUGGGGCCUGAUGGCCUACUGGGUCUUGUUGUUCACCUAAGGCCUUGUGUCCACCUGGGGACUGGUGAUCACCUGGGGCCUGGGUGUCCACCUGAGGCCGGAGGUGCACCUAAGGCCUGAGUUUUCACCUGGGCCUGAUGAUCACCUGGGGACUGGGUGUGUGCCUUGGGUCUUUUCCCUUUUCCUGAACAGGGCUUGCAGUUUCCAAACCAGACACAAUCUCCCAGUUGGAGAAAGAAAAAGGAUCCUAGAUGAUAGUGAGACAAAUUUCAGGAAACUCCAUCCAAAUAAGUAAAUGAGAAUGAGGACAGGAUUCAUUGCAUGGUGGCAUGUGCCUGCAGUCCCAGCUACUCAGGAGGCUGAGGUGGGAGGAUCGCUUGAACUCAGGAGUUGAAGGCUGCAGUGGGUGAGGAUCACAACACUGAAUUCCAGCUGAGGUGACAGAAUGAGACCCUGUCUCUCUAAAAAACAAGCAAGCAAACAAACCAAAAACCACAAACAAACCAGACCCCUCUUAGCAGAAUACUUCCAUGAGGUAAUAAAAGAAAGAAGAAAGUGAAACGAACAAACAAUUUUACUCAAGAAACUAGUGAGAAAUCAAAGAAAUGUCCAAGAAGUAGGAUACAAGAAUUAAUCAAAACAGAUUAACAGUGGAAUAAAUAAAUGAAUCCAACUGGUUCUUUGUAAUGGAAUGUGGAAAGACAUACUCUAUUCUUCUGGAUAGGAAGAUGAAAUAUCAUAAUCAUAUCAAUGCAAGUUUUAUGCAUGCUCAAACAUGUAUAAACUAAGAAAAAAUCUGAAAGGACAGACAGCAAAAUGUUUGCAGUUUUUUUCCUCCAAGUGGUAAGAUUAAAGGGACUGGACUAAGUGACCUGGAUCAGAGGGAGGGCAAGAGAUCUGCUUCCUGCCUGAGCCCUGUGAACAGCUGAAAUCACUCGUGUGUCUGCAGGAAUCAUUCUUAUAUUUGCUAUUCUGAGGUAACGUCAAACCUACACAAAAUUUGCAAGAAGAAAAAACACCCUGCCACAUACUCUUACCUACAUUCACCCAUUGUUAACAUUUUGUCACAUUA
rnacentral:lncRNA from 1 species